CGUACCUCUAGUUGCAGUUACAUUGCCAGUAAGUAGUUGCAAGCAGUGAAGUCGUCACAAAACCCCAUAAAAGGGGCACGUUAUAAAGCUAUAGCUAUAGCUGAAGAAUUGCGAUUGGACAGUGCUGGGCAAUAUUCAAAUUACUUAACAUUAUCCUUUGAAGUCCUGGCAGUGAAAGGAUAUUAUAACUUUGCAACUCCAGGAAUUGUAUGUAACAUUAAGAAGGAGGCAUAUUUUAUUUACUACAAUUCUUGGUAGCUUUAGCUGACAAUCUGGUAUAUUUUAUACUCGAUGAAUAAUACCACACUGGGUUGCUUUUAUUUGAAACAGCUACCGGGUAUUUCAAUUCGAGCAAACUCGUCUUCGGUUUCUUACAUGUUUUAUAGUGGCUUUAUUUAACUUAGGAUCAAGUUCAUUCAUCAAAUAAAAGAAUACGUUAUUAGUUUCACUUUGUAAGUAUUCAUUUCUUAUCAUUAAGUUAACAGGAUCCAUACAACUUUGUUUAAUUAGGCAUCACCAAUGAUUUUAAGAUAUGUAUUUCUACUGCCUAUUAUUUUUUACUCAAUAAUUUAAUUUUUUUGAAGAUCCAUAAGCUUGAUAAUACUCUUUAGUCGAUUAAACGCAACCCAUUCGGUAUCCUACUUUUUUAACGUCAAAUUUAAAUUAUAAUAUUAUAUUCUA